CCUACGGUGCGCUGCAGUGGGGAAUAUUGCACAAUGGGGGGAACCCUGAUGCAGCAACGCCGCGUGGGUGAAGAAGUACUCCGGUAUGUAAAGCCCUGUCAGCAGGGAAGAAAAUGACGGUACCUGACCAAGAAGCCCCGGCUAACUACGUGCCAGCAGCCGCGGUAAUACGUAGGGGGCAAGCGUUAUCCGGAUUUACUGGGUGUAAAGGGAGCGUAGACGGCAAGGCAAGUCUGGAGUGAAAGCCCGUGGCCCAACCACGGGACUGCUUUGGAAACUGUGUUGCUUGAGUGCAGGAGGGGUAAGCGGAAUUCCUAGUGUAGCGGUGAAAUGCGUAGAUAUUAGGAGGAACACCGGUGGCGAAGGCGGCUUACUGGACUGUAACUGACGUUGAGGCUCGAAGGCGUGGGGAGCAAACAGGAUUAGAUACCCUAGUAGUC
rnacentral:rRNA from 1 species